GUGGGCRAUCUGCCCUUCACUCUGGGACAAGCCCUGGAAACGGGGUCUAAUACCGGAUACCACUACCGCAGGCAUCUGUGGUGGUUGAAAGCUCCGGCGGUGAAGGAUGAGCCCGCGGCCUAUCAGCUUGUUGGUGAGGUAAUGGCUCACCAAGGCGACGACGGGUAGCCGGCCUGAGAGGGCGACCGGCCACACUGGGACUGAGACACGGCCCAGACUCCUACGGGAGGCAGCAGUGGGGAAUAUUGCACAAUGGGCGAAAGCCUGAUGCAGCGACGCCGCGUGAGGGAUGACGGCCUUCGGGUUGUAAACCUCUUUCAGCAGGGAAGAAGCGAAAGUGACGGUACCUGCAGAAGAAGCGCCGGCUAACUACGUGCCAGCAGCCGCGGUAAUACGUAGGGCGCAAGCGUUGUCCGGAAUUAUUGGGCGUAAAGAGCUCGUAGGCGGCUUGUCACGUCGGGUGUGAAAGCCCGGGGCUUAACCCCGGGUCUGCAUUCGAUACGGKCUAGCUAGAGUGUGGUAGGGGAGAUCGGAAUUCCUGGWGUAGCGGUGAAAUGCGCAGAUAUCAGGAGGAACACCGGUGGCGAAAGCGGAUCUCUGGGCCAUUACUGACGCUGAGGAGCGAAAGCGUGGGGAGCGAACACGAYUAGAUAYCCUGSUASUCCACGCCGUAAACGGYGRGAACUAGUGUUGGCGACAUUSCWCGUCGUCGGWGCCGCAGCUAUYKCAUUAAGUUCCCCGCCUGGKGGAGUACYGGCCGCAAGGCUAAUACUCAAGGAAGUGAYGGG
rnacentral:rRNA from 1 species